CUGGCCCCCAGCCCUUGAUUCCCCUUCCUCAUCAUUGUAGCAAAUUCUCCAUAGUCUAUUCUCCCGUCCUGUCAGUAGCAGUCAGUUGUUUUUAGCCUCACCAAGACUUGGCCUGUGCCUGUUGGAGCUCAUCUAUGGUGAUGUAGCCACUGCCAUCCUUGUCGAAGAAAGCAAAGGCAGCCAUCUUUCAGCAAUGACCUGUACAAGGAUGAUGACAACAACAAUGAUGAUGAUGAUGCUCUAAUCAGCACUGCAAUCCAAGUAUGUUACUUCGAACUAACUUACACGCAGAGCCAUCUUCUUAAGCUUGUUCAUUGCAGAAAAUUGCUUUAGCCGUGAAAGAACAGCGGAUCCGAGAGGCUUGUCCGGUGCAACAUUGUCAUCCACAAUCCAAGGAUGGCCUAUUAACCAGGCGAUCAACACCAGCCGGCAGAUAAUUAACACGAAUGGACGAGGAUGAGUUGACUUGAUGAUUCACUCACUCACUCACCUGCCCAAAAGGGAGGCACCCCUGACAGUAAUAUGUAAAGAAUAACCCCUGCACUCCAUACAUCAGCUUCAGGACC